rnacentral:rRNA from 1 species
UACGUAAAAGACUAGUGUUAUUCAUCUUCAAUAGGUUUAAAGGGUACCUAGACGGUAAUAUUAGCUCAAAACAGAGUACAAUAUUACUAGAGUUUUAUAUGAGAUGGGGAGUAUUCAUAGAGUAGAGAUGAAAUUUUUUGAUACUAUUAGGACUGAUAAUAGCGAAAGCAACCUUUUAUGUAAUAACUGACGUUGAGGGACGAAGGCCUGGGUAACGAACAGG